rnacentral:rRNA from 1 species
GAAGCCCCCCUCAAGAUGAGAUUUCCCAAUUCGUAAGACCCCUGGUAGACGACCAGGUUGAUAGGUUCGGGGUGGAAGCGCCGUAAGGCGUGCAGCUGACGAAUACUAAUCGGUCGAGGGCUUAUCCAAU